rnacentral:ncRNA from 1 species
CUUACAGUGCCCCCACCAUCGUAGAUAUUGUAGCAACUAGGAACACAGACACAGGUGGUGCAUGACUGUUGUCAGAUCGUGUCAUAAGGUGUUGGGUUAAGUCUCGCAACGACCACAACCUCGUGUUUAGUUAUCAACGUUGAGUUUAGAACGCUGAGUAGACUGUCGAUGAUAAGACAAAGGAAGGUGAGGGGAUAAUGUCAAGUCAUCAUGGCCCUUAUG